rnacentral:rRNA from 1 species
UACGUAGGGUGCGAGCGUUGAUCGGAAUUACUGGGCGUAAAGGGUGCGCAGGCGGCAAAGCAAGUCGAGUGUGAAAGCCCCGGGCUUAACUUGGGAAUUGCUCUCGAAACUACUUUGCUGGAGUGUGGCAGAGGAAGGUGGAAUUCCACGUGUAGCGGUGAAAUGCGUAGAGAUGUGGAGGAACACCAAUGGCGAAGGCAGCCUUCUGGGCCAACACUGACGCUCAUGCACGAAAGCGUGGGGAGCAAACAGG